UACGGGGGAUGCAAGCGUUAUCCGGAUUUAUUGGGUUUAAAGGGAGCGUAGGUGGAUUGUUAAGUCAGCGGUAAAAGCCCGGGGCUCAACCCCGGCGAGCCGUUGAAACUGGCGGGCUGGAGUUGGAGAGAAGUACGCGGAAUGCGCGGUGUAGCGGUGAAAUGCUUAGAUAUCGCGCAGAACCCCGAUUGCGAAGGCAGCGUACCGGCUCCACACUGACGCUGAGGCACGAAAGCGUGGGGAGCAAAUAGG
rnacentral:rRNA from 1 species